rnacentral:lncRNA from 1 species
AGUUAACAUUAAAAUUCAGUGGGGCCCUAUAGUCUGUAAUUAACUCGCAAUUUUCUGCAUACAGUGGGAAAACAUGAGUGGCCUUUCGUGGGGAGCAUCAAACUAAAUGUAUAUGUCAACAAUUAAUUCCAGACCUGACAGACUGAAUUCAGUAGUGAACUCAGUAAUUAAAUAAAGGGAACCCAAUUUUAAAUUGGAUUUAAUAACUAUUUGUUUGAAAUUAUUCUGAGAAUGUAGCGCCCCUUUUUGUACUUUUGAUUAUCCUUACUUCCUAGCUUAAAAGUUGUUUUGAGCUAGUAAAAUUAUUUGACUCUCAGGGUGAUACACUGUGUACAUAUGUACUGCGUGUAUCAGUGUAGUAUUUCUUCUCUGAUUUUAGAACUUUUCAUGUGUAAAUUUGACCCUGUAAAUUUGGAAGAUAUUUUGUUACCCUAUUUGAAGUUAUAAUCUCAAACAUAUGAGGGACAUUUUAGUAAGUAUUCUGUAAGCUUGUUUGUGGGGUUUUAUUUUAUUUUUUGGUUGCUUGUUGAUUUUAAUUAUAUUUAAGUACAUUUAUCUUCUCCAACGGGAAACUGACCACUGCCCCAGAGAUUUGAUAAAUGUGAUUUUUAUGGAAAAAUAAAUGAAUAAUGUGCAUUUUCUUUCCAAUCUCCUGGGCCGUUGUCAUUCUUUUUCAGGAGGAAGAUGAAGAUGAAGAUUUUGAAGAGGAGAGUGAUGAUGAUGAUACUGCAGCUCUUCUUGCAGAGCUAGAAAAAAUUAAAAAAGAAAGAGCUGAAGAGCAGGCCAGGAAGGUAAAAUGGAAGUACUAAAUAUUUACAUCUUUCUCCAUCUUCUGUGCUAAACUAGAAAUAUUUUUUGAUGUAAGUAAUAUCAUCUUGUAUUAGAAAUCAUCCAUGCCAUGUCUAGGUAUUACAGUGCUUGUAGGUCUGUAAGUCCCAUUAUUUUUGUGCCAUCCUAACUUCCUUGGUUGUGUUAAAAAUUCUUUCCGGGGCGCCUGGGUGGCGCAGUCGGUUAAGCGUCUGACUUCAGCCAGGUCACGAUCUCGCGGUCCGGGAGUUCGAGCCCCACGUCGGGCUCUGGGCUGAUGGCUCAGAGCCUGGAGCCUGUUUCCGAUUCUGUGUCUCCUUCUCUCUCUGCCCCUCCCCCGUUCAUGCUCUGUCUCUCUCUGUCCCAAAAAUAAAUAAACGUUGAAAAAAAAAAUUAAAAAAAAAAAAAAAAUUAAAAAAAAAAAAAUUCUUUCCAAAUAGCUCAGACAUGCCUAAUAAUACUACCAGUUUGCUCUUUGUUCACAUACUUGUUCAUAUGUUCAGCAGACAUUGAGUCAUUGUCCGGUAAGUGUCAGAGGAAUCAAAGUUGAAUACGAUAUAUAAUCAUGGCCUACCGAGAACCCAUGGAUAUAAUGAGGCUAUCUUUGUCUCCUCUUUGCAGCCUUCUUUCCAGGCCUAUGUUGAUAUAGUCUGUCAAUAGGUUUUAUAUAACUUAGGGCAGUUUACCUAACUUCUGGGUCCCCAUAUUCUCUCCAUUUAUACAGUGAAAGAAAAGAAUGUCUGUCUCAGUGAGAGUCACAAGGAUUACAUAGGAUCCAUAGUACAUACUUUUUGUUUUAAUUUUUUUUUUACAUUUAUUUUUGAGAGAGAGAGAGAGAGAGAGCGCGCGCGCGCACAAGUGGGGGAGGGGCAGAGAGAGAGGGAGACACAGAAUCCAAAGCAGGCUCCAGGCUCCGAGCUGUUAGCACAGAGCCCGAUGUGGGGCUCGAACCUACGAACCGUGAGAUCAUGACCUGAGCUGAAGUCCGUUGCUUAACCGACUGAGCCACCCAGGCGCCCCCAUAGUACAUACUUGUAAACUUUGGGUGAAUUGGCCAUAGUAGUAAAAAUAAGAAACAGGUGAGCUCGAACAGGUCACAGCUUUAGUGGUUCACAAGCCAGCGCUAAAGGAGUUUGGACUCGGGUUUUGAAGGCCAUGAGGAGCUAGUUGAUUUCAGCAGGAGAUUGAUAAGGUUGGAUAUGCAUUUUAUUUUUUUGUUUAUUUUAUUAUGAAAUAUUUCAGUAAUACCGGGAAACAUGAAUAAUAAAAUUAUUGGAUACGCAGUUUGGAAAGAUUACGUUGGCAGAGGUAUGGAGGUUGUAUUGAGAGAACUGAUUGCGGAGGCUGUUCCAGUAAUCCUCACAUGCAAUUAUGAUAAUUUUGCAUAAUAGGAAUUGGAAUUGAGAGACGCAAGUAGAUGCUGAUAGAGCUGUCGAGGAAGAAAAAUUGACCAGAUAAAGUGGCUGAUUAGAUGUGGCAGCCACGAUGACCCCCCAGUUUCUGGGGAGAUGUUGCUGCCAGUCACUAAUACAGGGGAUGGCAGAAGGAUGAGCGUGUUUAGACGGAGAGAAAAGAGAUGACGAACUCUGGAACAGGUUGAAUUUGAUUCAUUACGAGACAUUCAGAUGAAGAUAUCUGCUUCCACUUUCAAACAAAACAACUCAGCUUUUUUUAAUGAGCCUCUCUCUGUGCAAGCUUGAACCAAGCUUGAACCAAGAAUUUGUUCUGUUUAAAGGGGGGAAAAAGACUAACAUGGGUUCAUGUGAGGAGUCUAGGGAAGUAGAACAUUGCUGGAUUUCAAAUUGGAAGAAGAAUAUUUUUUUUUAAAUUUUUUUUUUAACAUUUAUUUAUUUUUGAGACAGAGAGCAUGAAUAGGGGAGGGUCAGAGAAAGAGGGAGACACAGAAUCUGAAACAGGCUCCAGGCUCUGAGUGGUCAGCACAGAGCCCGAUGCAGGGCUCGAACCCACGGACCGUGAGAUCAUGACCUGAGCCGAAGUCGGAUGCUUAACUGACUGAGCCACCCAGGCGCCCCGGAAGAAGAAUAUUUUAAGGAUAGUUCUCAUCAAAGUUUGGCAUAAUUCCCAUAAUAGCCUAUAAUUGUAUCUAAUUUUUAAAAAUCAAAGAAUUAUAAGAACUUUCCUGAUAUCACUUGCACACCACUAGAGGGCAGUUGUUCUAUUCCAGAAUCUUUCAGCUUGCCUAACAGCUCUAGAUACGUAAAGAGACAUAGAAUUCAAAUGCAUUUGGUUGACCGUUAGGAAAGAUAAAUGUAUUUCAUUUCAUUUAUUUUUUUAACGUUUGUUUAUUUUUGAGAGAGAGACAGAAACAGAAUGCGAGCUGGGGUGGGGGGGCAGAGAGGGAGGGAGACCCAGAAUCCAUAGCAGGCUCCAGGCUCCGAGCUGUCAGCACAGAGCCCCACACAGGGCUCGAACUCACGAGCUGUGAGAUCAUGACCUGAGCUGAAGUCGGACGCUUAACCAACUGAGCCACCCAGGCACACCAAGAAUAAACAUUUUAGACAAAGAUCUUGGAAUUUUGUGGGGCUCAUCUACUGUCUUUGUACAAAAAUGUAUUGAUGUUUCUUGGGAUUGAAUGACAGUUAUUUCUUUUUUUUCCUGUUUGCCUGUCUGGUUUUCUAGUGGCUGGUUUUUGAGGUGUCCCAAAAUAACAUUUUCAAACCAGUCACCCUAUGUCAGGGGUUAGGAAGCUUUCUGUAAAGGGCCCGAUGGUAAAUAUUUCAGGACAUUUCAGGCUUGCAGACCAUGCAGUCUCUAGUGCUCUCUGUAGCACAGAAGCCACUGCAAACAAUACCAAAAUGAAUGAGGUUGACUAUCCAUGUUCCAGUAACAUUUUAUUUAUAAAAACGGAGCAGUUUGGAUUUGAUAUGCAGGCUGUUACCCAUUAUUAGCCUAUGUUUGGGAGCCAUAAUGUGCCUGGUACUUGAGUAUGGAAAGGGUGGGCACCUUUGUUCCAGUGCUGUGUUUGGCAAUCAGCCAGGACUGUGAAAGAAAAAAUAAUGCAGAUAUAAAAUGUCCAGAACUUUAUCAUAUCACAUACAUUAUUAUUAUAAGUUGGAUACAUUGUGUAUUUGAGCUCUUUUUUUUAUAGCAUCUCAGAGAAAUAUCUUUUCACUUUCAGCAUCAAUAUAAUUUGUUAAAAAUACAUAGUUUUUAGAAAGCUGUCUGCUCUUAAUCUAUGAUGGAUGCUCUUAAUUUUGUUUGCUUAAGGUCUGAAAGUGACCUAAAGUAAUUCCCCUGUUUAUUUCCCUGAAAGUUGCAUCUUGUCACUUCCCAGUUAUUUGGCCUCUUAAAAAUGAAAUCUGUUGUUCACACUUGGAUAUUAAAAUGAAAUAAUCAUUAGCCUGUAUGAAAAAUUAGGUUAUUUUUUAAAGUGAUAUAAAACACUAUUAGGUUCAUUUUAAAUUGAAAGUCUCUUUUUCCUUGAUCAAUUUUUGUCAUCCCUAAAAUCCAAUAAAGUAGGAUUUAUCUUUGGUUUAAAAUAGCCUGAACAGAUAGAUCAGCAGUUACUAUGGCUAAGAAUUCUAGGCAUUUUAUAUUUUUAAGAAUGAAACAGGGUGAUUUGGGUUUAAAGAGGUUAAUGCUAAAUUAAAAGUGAAGAAGGACAAGCUUGUAGCUGAUGAAGAAUGAGAGGUGUAAAAAUGGAGAAUUAGUAACAAUAAAUGAUAAGAACAAAAUGGAAAAACCUGUGGUGAAUUAGUAGAAAUGCAUGUUAACUGAAUAUAAGAAUUUACAUGAUAGUUUGUUUUAUUUUAGGAGCUACUUCUUGGUUAAUAAUAACUUGUCACUAAUCCUGGAGCUGCAAGUUUACAUUGUUAAUAGUUCAAAAUAAAAUUAUUUUUUAAUUGUGGUUAUAUAUAGCCCAUCUUUAAAAAUAAAGGUAAUAGUUUUGCUAAAUGUAUCUUUUUGAUGUUUAAUAUAUUCUGAAAUUAUUAGAAUAUAUUUAUUGAUGUAUUAUCUUAGAAUGAGCGAUGAAUUUUGUAUGUACUUCAAGAAAGAAAAUAAGUUUAAAUAUGCAUUCUAGAAUUUCAGAGUCGGACUAAUGAAUGUAUGAUGACAAGCAUGAAAUAUAGUAAAAAAGCCAAAUUGUUUGGAUUAAGUGAGACUUUUCUGGUAUAUCUUAUAUCUUUUUUUUAAAAGAAAAAAAAGGCUACCUUGAUUCUUACUCCAGCUCCCUCAUAAAAAUCCUAACAGUCUUUUAAAAUAGGAGUUAUGCAAGAAGAUUGAUCCCAGAAUUAAUGUAAAUAAAUGAGCCCUCCUCUGUCAUUGACAGGAACAAGAACAAAAAGCUGAAGAAGAAAGAAUACGUAUGGAAAACAUAUUGAGUGGAAACCCUCUCCUUAAUCUCACUGGCCCAUCCCAGCCUCAGGCCAACUUCAAAGUUAAAAGAAGGUACUUUACACUAAUGAGUUGGAUAUAUAUUGCAGAUUGGGAGUUUUAUACCAAGCUCUAUUGUGUGAAGGCUCUAAAAACCCCUUUUUCACUGGUCAUCUUCUCCGUCAGAUAUUAGAAUGAUAGAAGAAGGAAUGAACAUUUACUUACUUUCAGUAGAUAUUUCUGAUAACUAGCUGUGUACCAAAUACUGUUGUUUUUUAAUUUUUUUAGUGUUUGUUUAUUUUUGAGAGAGAGACAGAGUGCAAGCUGGGGAGGGGCAGAGAGAAAGGGAGACACAGAAUUCGAAGCAGGCUCCAGGCUCUGAGGUGUCAGCACCGAGCCCGCUGCAGGACUUGAACUCACGAGCCGUGAGAUCACGACCUGAGCUGAAGUCGGCUGCUUAACCGACUGAGCCACCCGGGCGCCCCCAGAUACUGUUCCAAGCGCUAGGGAUGGAGCAGUGCAUUGAGCCGUUGGUCCUACAGAGGUUACAUUUUACAUCUGUGUGGGAAGAGUCCCAAGCUCACCCUUCACAUUCAGAGGCUCGCCAGAAGGACACAGAGGACUCGGCAUAUAGUUGUCCUCGUACUAACAGAGCCACAGCCAGGUCAUAAGGGGGAAAGCUACAGGAGGAAUCCAUGUGCACACUUCCUCAUGCUCUGUCCCUCUUCUGAGGGUCACCCAGAAUAUUCUUUACUCUAGCAGUGACAGGUGGACAUGGGCCAGCACAUGAGCCUUACUGGUUAUACCCCAGUAGUUUCUUCUUUUGUUGCCAUAUACUAUAGUGGAUGAUUACUAAGUGGUAACUGAUCAAAGAGCAUAAAAUCUGGUAAUCCGAACUAUAGUAAAUUGACCAGUUAUUAUCAUCUAGAACCAUCUACAGUAACAGGGUAAUACCAGGGCUGCCUCUUUGUUUCAGACCUGAAAACAUUAAAUAUUUAUGCAAUUAAGCCGGUGUAUUUCUGCUUUUUAACUCAGAGUUCCUCAUACAGGAGAAGUCAUAAGAAUAUAUGUUCUAAAUAGGAAUUGCCUUUCCUGCUGUAAUAAAGCAAAAUUACAACCUAUUAAGAAUUACUUUAUUCUUUUGGGUGUAAUUGCUGUAUCAGAUGAUGUAUAUGUUGAGCAUAUUUCUGGGUAAUGACUAAGCUUUGCAACUCACUUUUUUCAUGUCUCCUGAUACAGACAUGUAAGUGUGCUGUUUGCUUUUUUCCUUUAGGUGGGAUGAUGAUGUUGUUUUCAAGAACUGUGCAAAAGGUGUAGAUGAUCAGAAGAAAGACAAAAGAUUUGUAAAUGAUACACUGCGAUCUGAAUUUCACAAAAAGUUCAUGGAGAAAUAUAUUAAAUAGUACAGUUUUAUGUGCUUAAUUAAAGACUGUAAAAUGUAAACGA